UAGAGAGAGAGAGAGAGAGAGCGCUAUGAAGCCUAUUCAAUUUUGCUGGAAGGGAUUUGAUGGAAAGCUAAGGAUUAAAGAAAAAGAAGAAGAAAUGGGAAAGUGGACAACCCAACCAAAUUCUAUCUUGAAAACUAACAGGUAGGCAUCCGAGGCCGUAUAUCGACUUAACCCACUGUGAGCAAACUAAGAAACAAGGAUAGAGAAAGCCACGGAGUCUACCCGUGUCAGCCUUUCGAAGAGCUUCCGGAAUAGAGCAAGUUAGGCUCGAGUAGAGCCAAGAAAAUUAGCCUUUAGCUUUGUCAGAGUUUUGUGUUUGGCUGAGUCUUAUAUAUAUUUAUGUGUGUGAGAUAUAUGGUAUUUGUAUAUGUUUAUAAAUUAUUAUGGCAUCAUGUAGGUACAAGCUCAAUGGGCAUUUUUAUUUUUGCUUUGCUUCA